rnacentral:rRNA from 1 species
UACGGAGGGUGCAAGCGUUAAUCGGAAUUACUGGGCGUAAAGCGUGCGCGGGCGGUUUGUUAAGUCUGUUGUGAAAUCCCCGAGCUCAACUUGGGAAUUGCAAUGGAUACUGGCAGGCUGGAGUAUGGUAGAGGGAUGUGGAAUACCCGGUGGAGCGGUGAAAUGCGUAGAGAUCGGGUGGAACACCAGUGGCGAAGGCGGCAUCCUGGCCCUGACCUGACGCUGAGGCGCGAGAGCGUGGGGAGCAAACGGG